rnacentral:rRNA from 1 species
AAUGAACGUUGGCGGCGUGGAUUAGGCAUGCAAGUCGUGCGAUAACCGUAGCAAUACGGCGAAAGCGGCGAAAGGGAGAGUAAUGCGUGGGUACCUACCCUCGGAUUCAGGAUAGCCAUGGGAAACUAUGGGUAAUACUGAAUAACGUCUUCGGACCAAAGGUGUGAUUCCGUCCGGGGAGGGGCCCGCGUCCUAUUAGCUAGUUGGUGAGGUAACGGCUCACCAAGGCGAAGAUGGGUAUGGGAUGUGAGAGCAUGAUCCCACUCAUUGGGACUGAGACACUGCCCAGACACCUACGGGAGGCUG